AUGCUUGUCAAGUUUUCAGAAUUCCUAGUGGAAAAUGAUUGCAAUUCUAUUUUUAUUUCAUUUUUUGCCAGAGAGAGAGAACGCACACACAUGAACAGGGGAGAGGGGCAGAGGGAGAAGAGACUCCCUGAUGAGCACAGAGCCCACCAUGGGGCAAGGUCCCAGGACCCUGAGACCAGGACUUGAGCUGAAGUCAGAUGCUUAACAGAUUGAGCCACCCAGAAGCCCC
rnacentral:lncRNA from 1 species